AGCGAACGCUGGCGGCAGGCUUAACACAUGCAAGUCGAGCGGGCACUUUCGGGUGUCAGCGGCGGACGGGUGAGUAACGCGUGGGAACGUGCCCUCUGGUUCGGAAUAACUCAGGGAAACUUGAGCUAAUACCGGAUACGCCCUUUUGGGGAAAGGCUUGCUGCCGGAGGAUCGGCCCGCGUCUGAUUAGCUAGUUGGUGAGGUAACGGCUCACCAAGGCGACGAUCAGUAGCUGGUCUGAGAGGAUGAUCAGCCACACUGGGACUGAGACACGGACCAGAAUCCUACGGGAAGCAGCAGUGGGGAAUAUUGGACAAUGGGCGCAAGCCUGAUCCAGCCAUGCCGGGUGAGUGAUGAAGGCCUUAGGGUUGUAAAGCUCUUUUAUCCGGGACGAUAAUGACGGUACCGGAGGAAUAAGCCCCGGCUAACUUCGUG
rnacentral:rRNA from 1 species